UUUUUUUUUUAAUAUAUAUGUGUGUGUGUAUGUGUGUGUGUGUGUGUAUAUAUACACACACACAUACAUACAUACAUACAUACAUACAUACAUACAUACAUACAUA
ensembl:miRNA Gm23637 predicted gene, 23637